GACGAACGCUGGCGGCGUGCUUAACACAUGCAAGUCGAACGGAAAGGCCCUGCUUUUGUGGUGUGCUCGAGUGGCGAACGUGUUAGUAACACGUUAGUAACCUGCCCUUUACUUUUGUAUAACUUCAGGAAACUUGGGCUAAUACCGGAUAUUAUCUCCUGCUGCAUUGUUGGGUUUGGAAAUUUUAGGCGGUUGGGGAUGGACUCGCGGGUUAUAAUCUUGUUGGUGGGGUAGUGGCUUACCAAGGCUUUGACGGGUAGACGGCCUGAGAGGGUGAACGGAAAAAUAGGGAAUGAGAUAAGGACAAGACUCAUACGGGAGGCAGCAGUGGGGAAUAUUGCACAAUGGGCGGAAGCCUGAUGCAGAAACGACGAGUGAGGGAUGACGGACUUAGGGUUGUAAACAGAUUUCGCCUGUGACGAAGCGUGAGUGACGGUAAUGGGUAAAGAAGCACCGGCUAACUACGUG
rnacentral:rRNA from 1 species